AAAGAUUAAGCCAUGCAUGUCUAAGUAUAAACGAUCUAAUCGUGAAACCGCGAAUGGCUCAUUAUAACAGCUAUAAUUUACUUGGUCUUGACACUAUCCUACUUGGAUAACUGUGGUAAUUCUAGAGCUAAUACAUGCAUUAAAGCUCUGACCUCACGGGAAGAGUGCACUUAUUAGAACAAAACCAAGCGGCUUCGGCUGUUUUCGGUUGACUCAUAGUAACUGAGCUGAUCGCACGGUCUUGCACCGGCGACGUGUCUUUCAAGUAUCUGCCGUAUCAACUUUCGAUGGUAGUGUAUCUGACUACCAUGGUGAUCACGCGUAACGGAGAAUAAGGGUUCGGCUCCGGAGAGUUCGCCUGAGAAAUCGCGAACACAUCUAAGGAAGGCAGCAGGCGCGAAAAUUACCCACUCUCAGCACGAGGAGGUAGUGACGAAAAAUAACGAGACCGUUCUCUUAUGAGGCCGGUCAUCGGAAUGGGUACAAUUUAAACCCUUUAACGAGUAUCUAUGAGAGGGCAAGUCUGGUGCCAGCAGCCGCGGUAAUUCCAGCUCUCAAAGUGCAUAGAAUUAUUGCUGCGGUUAAAAAGCUCGUAGUUGGAUCUGUGCCAUAGGACGUGGUCCACCUUCUGGGUGCGUACUAUGUUCCUAGGCUUUUUGCUGGUUUUCCCGUCGUAGCCUUCAUUGGUUGCGGCGGGUGGCUGGCGAGUUUACUUUGAGAAAAUCAGAGUGCUCAACACAGGCGUAUCGCUUGAAUGAUUGUGCAUGGAAUAAUAGAAAAGGAUUUCGGUCCUCUUUUAUUGGUUUUGUGGACUGAGAUAAUGGUUAACAGGGACCAACGGGGGCAUUCGUAUCGCUGCGUGAGAGGUGAAAUUCUUGGACCGUAGCGAGACGCCCUACUGCGAAAGCAUUUGCCAAGAAUG
rnacentral:rRNA from 1 species